rnacentral:rRNA from 1 species
GUGUCAGCAGCCGCGGUAAUACGAAGGGGGCUAGCGUUGUUCGGAAUUACUGGGCGUAAAGGGCGCGUAGGCGGUCCUGAUCGUCGGAUGUGAAAGGCCUGGGCUCAACCUGGGAAUGGCAUCCGAUACGGCGGGACUGGAGUGUGGGAGAGGUUGGUGGAAUUCCCAGUGUAGAGGUGAAAUUCGUAGAUAUUGGGAAGAACACCGGUGGCGAAGGCGGCCAACUGGACCACAACUGACGCUGAGGCGCGAAAGCGUGGGGAGCAAACAGGAUUAGAUACCCCUGUAGUCC